CCUACGGGUGGCAGCAGUGGGGAAUAUUGGACAAUGGGCGAAAGCCUGAUCCAGCCAUGCCGCGUGUGUGAAGAAGGCCUUCGGGUUGUAAAGCACUUUCAGUGGGGAAGAAAGCCUUGGGGCUAAUACCCUCGAGGAAGGACAUCACCCACAGAAGAAGCACCGGCUAACUCCGUGCCAGCAGCCGCGGUAAUACGGAGGGUGCGAGCGUUAAUCGGAAUUACUGGGCGUAAAGCGCGCGUAGGCGGUCUGAUAAGCCGGUUGUGAAAGCCCCGGGCUCAACCUGGGAACGGCAUCCGGAACUGUCAGGCUGGAGUGCAGGAGAGGAAGGUAGAAUUCCCGGUGUAGCGGUGAAAUGCGUAGAGAUCGGGAGGAAUACCAGUGGCGAAGGCGGCCUUCUGGACUGACACUGACGCUGGGGUGCGAAAGCGUGGGUAGCAAACGGGAUUAGAUACCUUGUAGUC
rnacentral:rRNA from 1 species